UGAAAGAAUUUACGCUACUUAUUUUGGCAAUUAUGAAAAAUCUGGCCUUCCAGCAGAUAAUGAAGCUAGAGGUCUAUGACUUAAGUUCCUUUCCCCUAGCAAGGGGCUACCUUUUGGCUGCAAAUUUAAUAGAUCAAUUGAAUGGUUCACAACCUAUUUUGACUUUCUCAAGCCAUUUUGAUAAACAGCCUCACUGAAAUGUUUUGAAAGAAAUGUUCACGCAGUAAAAUGUAUUCUUAGCAACUUCAUCAACACUCUUCUGACACUUUGUGCAUCCCAGG